AUAUGUUCUUUGGAACAUGGCGUACUGCUCAGUAACACGUGGAUAACCUGCCCUUGGGUCCGGCAUAACCCCGGGAAACUGGGGAUAAUACCGGAUAACGCAUAUAUGCUGGAAUUCUUUAUGCGUGAAACGGAUUCGUCUGCCCAAGGAUGGGUCUGCGGCCUAUCAGGUAGUAGUGGGUGUAAUGUACCUACUAGCCGACGACGGGUACGGGUUGUGAGAGCAAGAGCCCGGAGAUGGAUUCUGAGACAUGAAUCCAGGCCCUACGGGGCGCAGCAGGCGCGAAAACUUUACAAUGCGGGAAACCGUGAUAAGGGGACACCGAGUGCCAGCAUCCUAUGCUGGCUGUCCAGGUGUGUAAACUACACCUGUUAGCAAGGGCCGGGCAAGACCGGUGCCAGCCGCCGCGGUAACACCGGCGGCCCGAGUGGUGAUCGUGAUUAUUGGGUCUAAAGGGUCCGUAGCCGGUUUGGUCAGUCCUCCGGGAAAUCUGACAGCUUAACUGUUAGGCUUUCGGAGGAUACUGCCAGACUUGGAACCGGGAGAGGUAAGAGGUACUACAGGGGUAGGAGUGAAAUCUUGUAAUCCCUGUGGGACCACCUGUGGCGAAGGCGUCUUACCAGAACGGGUUCGACGGUGAGGGACGAAAGCUGGGGGCACGAACCGGAUUAGAUACCCGGGUAGUCCCAGCCGUAAACGAUGCUCGCUAGGUGUCAGGCAUGGCGCGACCGUGUCUGGUGCCGCAGGGAAGCCGUGAAGCGAGCCACCUGGGAAGUACGGCCGCAAGGCUGAAACUUAA
rnacentral:rRNA from 1 species